rnacentral:misc_RNA from 1 species
AUGAGUUGCAAACUCAACAUCGCGAAUGUAACCUAUGCAGUCUCGGGGUGGCCUGAGAUGGUGGCACACGGGUCAGGGGUAUACCGCGGAGUGUACAACUCUCUGUAUGUUGGCAUCUUGAGUAACUAAAUAAGUA